rnacentral:rRNA from 1 species
AUGCUUAACACAUGCAAGUCGAACGGUAACAGGCCUUCGGGCGCUGACGAGUGGCGGACGGGUGAGUAACGCGUAGGAAUCUGCCUUAUAGUGGGGGACAACGUGGGGAAACCCACGCUAAUACCGCAUACGCCCUACGGGGGAAAGGAGGGGAUCUUCGGACCUUUCGCUAUGAGAUGAGCCUGCGUUAGAUUAGCUAGUUGGUAGGGUAAAGGCCUACCAAGGCGACGAUCUAUAGCUGGUCUGAGAGGACGAUCAGCCACACUGGGACUGAGACACGGCCCAGACUCCUACGGGAGGCAGCAGUGGGGAAUAUUGGACAAUGGGCGCAAGCCUGAUCCAGCAAUACCGCGUGUGUGAAGAAGGCCUUAGGGUUGUAAAGCACUUUCAAUGGGGAGGAAAACCUGCCGGUCAAUACCCGGUAGCUUGACAUUACCUUUAGAAGAAGCACCGGCUAACUCCGUGCCAGCAGCCGCGGUAAUACGGAGGGUGCGAGCGUUAAUCGGAAUUACUGGGCGUAAAGCGUGCGUAGGCGGUUCGUUAAGUCAGAUGUGAAAGCCCUGGGCUCAACCUGGGAACUGCAUUUGAAACUGGCGGACUAGAGUUUAGUAGAGGGGAGUGGAAUUUCAGGUGUAGCGGUGAAAUGCGUAGAUAUCGGAAGGAACACCAGUGG